AAGAGCCGCUGAGUGGGGAGGAGAGAGGGACAGAGAGCCUGCUUGCUUUAAAGGAGCAAAGCAGGAGAGGAGAGGAGCCGCUUACACGAGUGUAAGCGGCUCCUGUCCGGUUGGCUCCUUUAAAGCAAGCAGGCUCUCUGUCCCUCUCUCCUCCCCACUCAGCUGGCUAA
rnacentral:miRNA from 1 species